CCUUCGAUAGCUCAGUUGGUAGAGCGGUGGACUGUAGAAAUUGGGGAAAGUCAAAACUCGAUCGCCCCCCCCCCCCCCCUCUGAUCAUACUUUCCGGUCGAGUAGAAAUCCAUAGGUCACUGGUUCAAAUCCGGUUCGAAGGA
rnacentral:tRNA from 1 species